rfam:Triticum aestivum genome assembly, contig: Triticum_aestivum_CS42_TGACv1_scaffold_271838_3DS
CAUGUACUUCCUCCGUCCGAAAUUAUUUGUCAAAAAUGGAUGUAUCUAAAACUAAAAUACAUCUAGAUACAUCGAUAUCUAUGACAAGUAUUUUCGGACGGAGAGAAUACACA